rnacentral:antisense_RNA from 1 species
CUUGAGCGAGCCGAGCCGCAGCGGGGUCGCGCGGUCCCGGCCGUACGCGGCAAGCAGCGCCUGCGCCUC